AAAAAAGGAUAAUAACUCACUUCAGAAACGAUGUUUAUGACAAGUAUUUUGGAUUAAUGUAAACCAUAGAUAAUACCGUAUGAUUGCCGACUCGUGAAUUCUCGACGUUAUGUUGCGAAACGCGUGAAACGGCGAGAAAGGUGGUUGGUCACUUCCGGUCUUCUGUUCUCGCUGUUUGUUUACUAUAGGCCCAGUAGCGAUAUUUUUAUUUAGCGCUUUCUUGUAGUAUUAAAUGUGGCAUCAUCUGGUUAAAUGGUAACGAGAAAUAGAAGCAAUGUUCGAGCAGAACGUACUGGUACCCGUCUUUUGUUUGCUACCUAGGGGCCUAGGGGAGUGCCAGCUUGUGAAGCAAAUAUAUUUCAUGUUGAUUUAUUGUGAUACUGAUAAAUAAUUAAAAUAAACCAUUCAAGCUAUGUGUAAUGUGUUUGUAUGGUUAUGUUGAUGGUUAAAUAGGUUGAGAAUUGAAGCCAAAUGACCAAUUUUCGCGAAAAAGGGAUCUGCCAGUUGGUGUUACAGAAUUCAGUCAAUUUUGCUCCGAUAUUGAUAAGGUUGGUUUUGUUACAAUGCUGAGAUGUAUGGCUUUUCAGGAAAUAACACGGUUCUGGAGAAAAAUUAAUAUUUAAAAAUAGCUGCCGGUCGAUAUUUAAGGAUAUGGGUUUACUGUUCCAUGUAAUUAAAUUAAUCAUUAAAAAUAUAACCUACAAUUUUUGUUUCAAUUAAAUAAGUUAAUCUUAACAAUAAUAUUAGGCUAUUGCAUUUUUUGAUUUAAAUAAUUUAAUCUUAUCAGUUGAGGAAGAAAGAGUUGGUAUUUCAA